rnacentral:rRNA from 1 species
UACGUAGGUGGCAAGCGUUGUCCGGAUUUACUGGGCGUAAAGGAUGCGUAGGCGGACAUUUAAGUCAGAUGUGAAAUACCCGAGCUUAACUUGGGUGCUGCAUUUGAAACUGGGUGUCUAGAGUGCAGGAGAGGUAAGUGGAAUUCCUAGUGUAGCGGUGAAAUGCGUAGAGAUUAGGAAGAACACCAGUGGCGAAGGCGACUUACUGGACUGUAACUGACGCUCAUGCACGAAAGCGUGGGGAGCAAACAGG